AUUGAACGCUGGCGGCAGGCCUAACACAUGCAAGUCGAGCGGUAGAGAGGUGCUUGCAUCUCUUGAGAGCGGCGGACGGGUGAGUAAUGCCUAGGAAUCUGCCUAGUGGUGGGGGAUAACGUUCGGAAACGGACGCUAAUACCGCAUACGUCCUAUGGAUGAAAGCGGGGGAUCGCAAGACCUCGCGCGAUUGGAGCGGCCGAUAUCAGAUUAGGUAGUUGGUGAGGUAAAGGCUCACCAAGCCGACGAUCUGUAGCUGGUCUGAGAGGACGACCAGCCACACUGGGACUGAGACACGGCCCAGACUCCUACGGGAGGCAGCAGUGGGGAAUUUUGGACAAUGGGCGCAAGCCUGAUCCAGCAAUGCCGCGUGCAGGAUGAAGGCCUUCGGUUGUAACUAGCUUUGUUACGGAACGAAACGGUAGAGCUCUAAUACAGUUUGUCUAAUAGACGGUACCGUAAG
rnacentral:rRNA from 1 species